UAUGAACACAACGAAGGAAAGUUGGGUUGUUUGCUGCAUUUCCCUUUUUCUCACCUGUCGCACUCCAGUUAAGUACAUAUUAGUACACUGUAUAUAUAUCCCUUUUUUAAACCAGUCGCAUUCUUGCUAAGGUUUAAAUCUUAGACGAUUAAAGAUUUUUACAAGCUGUUCCUAUCAAUUGGACCAUUUGAGACAACGUGUUUUUACGUUUGCGAAUAGGAAAUAUGAGAAAUGUGUUAGCGCUCAAUCUCAAUGAAGCUAUCGUUCUACGUAGAUCGAUCCAACUCUGCUGGGACUCUCGCUGAAUGCAAUCAGUUUAACAGAUUAACAGGCCUCCUCUUGUUUCCAACGUACUCGUUAAUAAAGUACAUGCAAGCAUACGCGUCAUGAUGCGCAGAACCUUCGUCUAACAGCGGAAAACACGGCUGAAUUAAUCGAUCAGCCAUUUUUUCCAGUUUUCGUCCAUUUUAAAUAGAAGAAAUAGAAAAGAAAGAUCAGCUACUCCCGUGUUUUUGCGCCAGUUAAAACAUUUGCUGGUUAAUACAUUUAACACCCGAGAGAUAAGUGUUCUAAACAGUGUUUGUUUAUUAUAAAAUGUUACUCAAUUGUCUACUUCGAGUUAUCUCUCUCACGUCAAAUCACGUGAGAACAUUGGACUUGAGUUUCAUAACGUCUGCCUUAUUAUUUGAGGGGGGAGAUCAGUGGAAAGUACAUAUAUAUGCACCAUGUGCACGUGAGCGUUGUCAGAUGAAUGCAAAUAUUUUGCCUGAUUAACUAAUAAGCUAACUAACCAUCAUUCAAAUAACAACUGCAAUAUGAGAUGGUAUAUGGGACCCAAAACAGAGUCCCCUGGUCUUUACUUCCAUCCCUCCCUUCACGUGUUUCCUCCGUAUCUUAUGUACAUAUGUAUGUGCUAUUGUACAAGUUGUCCAAAAAUUAUAAAACCUUUGGUUAAAUCCCACAAGUGUGAGUUUCUUUAUAAUUCGUUUUUGUACCCAUACCACAUCUAAUAUUUCGUGAACUAUAUCUGUCCAUUGGAUGGAUUAUGUGAAUCUUGCUGUGUUAUGUUCACCACAAAGUCACAGUGACAUGGAACUCCAUUUCUUUUCAUCCACGUGAAAAAGUUUAUUUGUUUUUACUACACUUGUCUGGUUCGCAGUUUUGAAGAAUGAUUAUAAGUAAAAUGAUUUGUGUGAAUAAAACAGUCGCCAUUAUAGUUCUGAGAGAGCGUAUAGUGCCCAAAUUCAACAUAAUAACAAUGUCAGCGAAUAAAUGUAGGGGAAAAUGGUAAUCAAAGAUCAGCUAAAAAACACAUUGACGCAAACUGGUCAGGGUGAAGAAAUAAUAGGUAUUGAUGGGCCGAUCAGAUGGGUUAAUAACUUAAUAUAUUGAAUGUGGCGCAUUACCUUUUGGGACACCCUAUUUAUCUUUGACUUAUGCAUUUAAAGCACAGAAGACUGAAUUAGGAUAUCAGUAACUUACGAAACAGAGCGGCUGAGACCAUCGUCCGAUAUAGGCCUGUUGAGAUUAUCUGAAUAGGUAGCUGAAAUGACGUCAACAAGGAUGAUUCUUGUCUUACUGGUGGCACCAGCUUUCGUCAUGUCUAACGAAUGCCAGAAUAAUAUCAACGGUUGCAGUGUCCCUUCGUUCCUUCAAGGAUUUGAAAAUAACAGAGAAUAUGUGGCAAUAUUCGAGUCAGUCUGUAAUCAACACGACAUGUGUUAUAACUGUGGAGCGGCGUUUGGAAUUAAUAGAAGCGGUUGUGACACAAGACUAUACCGACAUAUGGUAGACGUGUGUGACAGAACGGACGCUGCAUCCCUUCCUGGCGGAAAGCCACGUUGCUAUGACAGGGCAAAUGCAUUUAAAACUUCCGUCACUUUGUUUGGGUUUUGGUUUUAUCACAGCAAAGCUCUUAGUUGGUGCAACGAUAGGUGCACGGCAGAUUAUUUGGGAAAUGACCAAUUUUAAACUCUCACCUAUAUGCAAAUGUGACAGCUCAGAAAGCCAUCGAAUUAUAUUUCUCGUUUUGGAAAUAUUCCAUUAAUUUUGACAAGAGUGUACCUGGCCUCUCAAUCAAACAAGCGACAGUGCUUAUGUGUAAGACGCUCUAACAGAAAAAAAAAAGACAGUGCGCGCCUUGGAAUGUAUUUUCAUAUGAAAGCCAUCCUCUGUUUAAAAUGUUACAGUGUGCAGUCCGAAGUAGGCCGCAGAAUCGUUUAUUUUUACAGAGUAUUUGUGUUAUACUAAUGAUAUUCAGGGUAUUGAAGGGACCUUACAGAAUGCGUUAUGUUGACUUGGCUAAUGCGCACUAACUCCAAUGUGACUCUCGCUGAAUGCAAGCACACAAGAGAAUGAUUAGGCUGGUAAUCUGAUUGCAUUUAGCCAGAGUUCCCGUGGAGUUACUUCACAUUAGCUAUGACGUCAUAAUUCUUUCUGAACGGUCCCUCAGUUAGAUACCUGACUGGCAUCUUUGGUUUUCUUAUACCUUAAUUGUACGUCAUCAAUAUUUAAACGUCUUACAAACAGGACAAAGAGAAUAAGCACUUUUAUGCUCUCAUGCGCUCUUUGAUCAAAUGUGAUUAGAAUCAAAGUGCGGUUCGUGUAGUAAAGGUACCCUCUACCAGGGCCGCAGUUAUUAUUGUGGACAUU